rnacentral:rRNA from 1 species
GACGAACGCUGGCGGCGGGCUUAACACAUGCAAGUCGAACGGAAAGGCCCUGCUUUUGUGGGGUGCUCGAGUGGCGAACGGGUGAGUAACACGUGAGUAACCUGCCCUUGACUUUGGGAUAACUUCAGGAAACUGGGGCUAAUACCGGAUAGGAGCUCCUGCUGCAUGGUGGGGGUUGGAAAGUUUCGGCGGUUGGGGAUGGACUCGCGGCUUAUCAGCUUGUUGGUGGGGUAGUGGCUUACCAAGGCUUGGACGGGUAGCCGGCCGGAGAGGGUGACCGGCGACAAUGGGCCUAAGAUACGGCCCAGACUCGUACGGGAGGCAGCAGUGGGGAAUAUGGCACAAUGGGCGGAAGCCUGAUGAAGCAACGUCGCGUGCGGGAUGACGGCCUUCGGGUUGUAAACCGCUUUCGCCUGUGACGAAGCGUGAGUGACGGUAAUGGGUAAAGAAGCACCGGCUAACUACGUG